UUUUUUUUUUUUUUUUUUUUUUUUUUUUUUUUUUUCACCCCCCAA
rnacentral:ribozyme from 13 species